CCUUUGUGAAAGCAAUUACUUUUUAUGAAUUUCAUCAACGCGGUGGAACCUCUAUAGCAAAGGGGGGAGCGCAGUGAGGAUUAUAGUCGCCGCUAAAAGGAAAUAGCAAUAUGUGAUUGAAAAUAUAUGUUCUGAUAUAAUUUAGUUAGACGACCUCCCCCUCGUUAAAAAAAAUGUUUUAUUAUUGUGCGAUUUUCUAUGUCUAUUCGGAGAGAAACAUGUCCUUCGAGACAAAUUCAUUUCAUCCUCACCUGGAAUUACAAUGGAAAAUGUAGGCAUGAUCAGUUAUUUUCCGGGAAUCACAAUUAAGAUCCAAUGUUGGUGAAUGGACUACUAUACAUCCGGAAACAUGGUGACGGGCCUGACGACCACAUCUAAAAAUGGACCAUCAUCUUAUUGCCCUUUGAAUACAAUCAGCGACACGCAGUGUCAAUUUAGAAUAAGUAAAGACGUAGAAGUUUGAAGAAAACCUCAAACCUGGAUUACGUCAUCAUCACUGUCUUGGCCAGGUGGAACAACUAAGGGGACGCCCCC